GACAGAGGGUGCAAACGUUGUUCGGAUUUACUGGGCGUAAAGCGCGUGUAGGCGGCUUUGCAAGUCGGAUGUGAAAGCCCACGGCUCAACCGUGGAAGUGCAUCCGAAACUGCAUGGCUUGAGUCUCGGAGAGGAAGGUGGAAUGCUUGGUGUAGAGGUGAAAUGCGCAGAUAUCAGGAGGAACACCGGUGGCGAAGGCGGGUCUCUGGGCAGUAACUGACGCUGAGGAGCGAAAGCGUGGGGAGCGAACAGG
rnacentral:rRNA from 1 species